UUGUCAAUCAACCAUUUUUUUAACGGUAACGAAACCUCCGCGUUGGCAAUUAGUACCAUUUUCCAUUUAUUUAUUAAACCGAAAUUAUUCCUCGAUAUAUACGUAAAAGUGCGAUUCUUAUUAAUUUUACCGAAGAUUUUCCCGUUGUGCCGUGAAACUUAUACAAAAGCGUUUAAAUAAAAAAAAUCGGAUUUGAAAGGCCCGACCUGUCAAAUUCAGCGUAGGAAUAUCCAGUACGAUUCAUUCCCGCAAAAGAUUAAUCUAGUCGAGUUGAAUCAUUUUACAUGUGGUGUUCGCGGUGUUCGCCGGCAUUUUUCCAUUAAAUCGCUAAAAAAACACCCAGUUACAGUCGAUUAAAUAGUGAAACGAUGGAGCCAGACACCCUUCAGUUGAUAGAAGUGCUAGAAAAAACAGUUUCUCCUGAUCAAAACGACCAGAAACAAGCGUCCACCUUCCUAGAUCAGGCCGCAGCCACAAAUCUACUGGGCUUCAUAAAAACCCUCUCGGACAUCCUGAGACAUGGCGGUAACAGCCAUGUCGCCCGGAUGGCCGCGGGUUUACAGCUCAAAAACCAACUUACCGCUAAAGAUCAAACCGUCAAAGUCCAGUAUCAGCAACGAUGGAUCGCUUUUCCCGAAGAUAUUCGCAACUAUAUUAAGAAGAAUGUUGUGGGAGCUUUGGGAACUGAAACGAACAGACCCUCUUCGGCCGCCCAAUGUGUCGCUUAUAUAGCGGUCGCGGAAUUGCCGCAACAACAAUGGCCGGACCUUAUUUCCACUUUGGUCAGUAAUGUGGUGAAUGCCACCUCGGAGAUGCAAAAGGAGGCCACUUUAGAGGCGAUUGGUUACAUAUGCUCUGAAAUCGAUUCGGAUGUCCUGGUGUCUCAAUCGAAUGACAUUCUCACGGCCAUAGUUAGCGGGAUAAGGGUGGCGGAGCAGAGUAACCACGUUAGGUUGGCCGCAACAAGAGCCCUUCUUAAUUCCCUUGAGUUUACUAAGGCCAAUUUCGAUCAUCCGGCUGAAAGGAAUUAUAUUAUGGAGUGUAUUUGUGAGGCCACACAGUCUACAGAUACCGCGAUUAAGGUAACCGCUCUCGAAUGUCUAGUGAAAAUCAUGUCACUCUACUACCAACACAUGGAGCCAUACAUGGGACCCGCUUUGUUUCCUAUUACUUUAGAAGCUAUGAAGUCCGAUAAUGAUGCUGUGGCUCUACAGGGUAUUGAGUUUUGGUCUAAUGUGAGCGACGAAGAGGUAGAUUUGGCCAUAGAGGACACAGAAGCUCAGGAAGCCGGCAGGCCGCCUUCCAGAGUUUCUUGUCAUUAUGCCAAAGGGGCCCUGCAUUACAUUGUACCGAUUCUUUUGCAAAAACUGACAAAACAAGAGGAGUUAGACGAUGAGGAUGAUUGGAAUCCCACUAAGGCGGCCGGGGUUUGUCUCAUGUUGCUCGCCAGUUGCUGCGAAGACGAAAUUGUGCCUCACGUGUUACCAUUUAUUAAAGACAAUAUUAAAUCGGACAAUUGGAGACUGAGGGACGCGUCACUGAUGGCCUUCGGUUCGAUCCUGGGCGGCCUCGAUAAUCCCACACUGAAACCGUUAGUGGAGCAAGCGAUGCCCACUUUGAUCGAACUGAUGUACGACAGCAGCGUCACUGUGCGAGAUACGGCCGCUUGGACCUUCGGUAGAAUCUGCGAGAUCAUUCCAGAGGCGGCUAUAAACGAGGCCUUCCUCAAACCGUUACUGGAGAGUUUAAUAAACGGACUGAAAGCGGAACCGAGGGUCGCUGCGAACGUUUGUUGGGCAUUUUCCGGUUUGGCGGAAGCCGCAUACGAAGCGGCCGCAUGCGAGAUCGCUGGUGGUGAUGAUACUAAUCCGGAAACCUACUGUUUGUCGCAAUAUUUCGAGUUUAUUGUGCAGAGACUGUUAGAGGUGACAGAUCGACCGGAUGGGGCGCAGCACAACCUGAGACCGGCUGCCUACGAGGCCCUCAUGGAAAUGAUCAAGAAUUCCCCGAGGGAUUGCUACGUUACUGUGCAAAAAACCACCAUGGUCAUUUUGGAACGGUUACAACAAGUGCUCCAGAUGGAAUCGCACAUCAGCAGUCACAGCGAUCGGUCCCAAUUUAACGAUCUGCAAUCGCUACUGUGCGGCACGUUACAGUCGGUACUGAGGAAAGUUACGCCUGAAGAUGCACCGCAGAUUUCCGAUGCGGUUAUGACGGCCCUACUGACCAUGUUUAACUCGAACAAGAGCGGUGGAGUCCAGGAAGAUGCGAUUAUGGCUGUGUCUACUCUAGUGGAGGUGCUCGGCGAAGGUUUCCUCAAAUACAUGGACGCCUUCAAGCCCUAUUUAUAUUUAGGCCUGAAGAACCAUCAGGAGUACCAAGUUUGCGGUACCGCCGUAGGUCUUACCGGGGACAUAUUUAGGGCCUUAAAACUGAAGGCUUUGCCGUAUUGCGACGAGAUUAUGGCCCUGCUGUUGGAGAAUUUGGGCGAGCCUACGGUACAUCGGAACGUGAAACCGCAAAUUUUAUCGGUGUUCGGCGAUAUGGCUUUGAGCAUCGGGGGUGAGUUUAAGAAGUAUUUGGAAGUCGUGCUGGCUACGUUGGCGCAGGCGUCACAAGCACAAGUUGACCGUACCGAUUUCGACAUGAUCGACUACCUAAACGAGCUGAGAGAGGGCGUCCUGGACGCCUACACUGGCAUCAUCCAGGGUCUAAAGGGCGACGCGUCGAAUCCCUCGCCCGACGUCAAUCUACUCGAACGUCACAUCCCGUUCAUCGUUCAAUUUAUUACCGCGGUCGCACAAGACGCCGAUCAUUCGGACGGCACCAUUGCCGUGGCAGCUGGUAUUGUAGGAGAUCUAUGUUCGACGUUCGGUCCGCCGAUGUUGCCGUUGCUAGAGUUGCCCGCGAUCCAGGAGAUGCUGGCCCAGGGCAGAAGAUCGAGGAUAUCGCGUACGAAAACUUUGGCCACGUGGGCCACGAAGGAAAUGAAGAAGUUGAAGGUGCUUAAUCAGCCGACGGCGCCUGCUGCCAGCUGAUUUAUGACGUACCAGUCAGACUAUCUUACGACCAACGCGAACACACCCGAAAUCGGCCCGGUAAUCUUGGGAUACGGAAGGUACAACCUGGGCAACUAACACCGGAACCGCAAUCAAAAUUUUCAAUUAUCGAAAGUGUCUCGCGAAUGGACCGCAGUUUAGCAAACAAACAUAAUAAUAAUAAUUUGUUUCUUUUAAUUAUUUUAAUUUCGAUCUCGCUCGCUCCCUCUCGUGGGGUAGUCUGAGUAUGGGUCGGGGUCGUCUUUUUAGUUAUAUCAUUUGUUAGUUGGGGGCAAAAAAAAAAUAACAGGGAAAAAAAUUGCGCGUUUUGAAUGAUGCAAAUGCGAGGAAAUUUUAUUAUGUUAAUCAAAGUUUUAUGUAAAUAUGAAUAAUAUUAUAAAGGAAAUGAAACGCGCAGUUUUUAUCGUUUUGUAUCGAACACUUUUAGCCACGUAAUUCGAAAUUGCUACGGGGUAAGUAACAUUGAUGUUUAAUUAUUAUUUUUUUAUUAUUAUUGAUUCAGUCAACGGAUGAAUUAUAAUAUAUUUUUUUUGUUAAAACUUGUAUGUCUACACUGUCUACUCGAUAUGUUGCUUAAAAAAAUAUAGUGUAAUAUCAUGUGGUGGUUGUUCAAUCGAAACGAUAUGUAGUUUAGUGUUUGUUCAGAGGCCCCCGCUUCACGCAUUAAUUUUAUUUGUUUUUAAUUCGUGUGCAGAAGGGGGUUUUGUCCUUAUUAUGGUAAAUGGGUUAAAAAAGGACAGAAUUGGCGCAUAAAUAAUUAAGAAAUGGCACGGAUCAAGUUGGAAAUUUGUGUGAUUAUCGUCCAAUGUUAUUACAGAACAGUCAUAUUUGAGGGGUUCAAAGCUGAGUGUGGGCCAUGAAAAUUGUCAAAAAAUGAGAUUUUUUUUGGUAAUGUUGCAAAAUAUCUAGAGGUCAAGAACCAAGGCAGAUACAGUAAUGAAAUUCCGUGUAGAGGUUCUUCAUUUAAUUUCAUGAGACACCUUUUUCAGGAUUUUUCUGGGAAAUAUACUGGAAGUUGUAAAAAUAAAAUUUUAAAGGUGGCUAUUUUUUUUUUCUAAAGAAGUGGCAAAGUGUCUAUAACUCGAGAACUAUGAGAGUUACAAUCAUGAAAUUUGGUAUAGAGGCUCUUUAUUUAAUUUCAUUAGACACCUAUUUCAGGAUUUUUCUGGAAAACAUCUUAAAAGUUGUAAACAAAAUUUUUUUAGGGUGUGUAAUUUUUUUCUCUUAAAAAAAUGGCAAAGUGUCAUAACUGGAGAACCAUGACAGUGAGAUUCAUGAAAUUUGGUAUAGAGGCUCUUCAUUUAAUUUCAUUAGACACCUAUUUUAGGAUUUUUCCAGAAAAAGAUCCUAAAAGAUGUAAAAAUUUUUUUUUAAUGGUGGCUAUUUUUUUUUUUUUUUCAUUAAAAAAUAUCGUCUGUGAGCCUGCAAUUUCUCCUAACUAAAUUUUACCCGAUUUUUCACAAGAGCCAAAAAACUGAUAUUGUGUUAGUUUGUUAAAACUCUCCAAAUUUUUGCUGCUCACAUUGUUUUUAUAAAAGGGUUUUUUGAGUAAUUUAUUUUAACUUUGAUAAAAAGUUUUUAUUUUAAGAUAGGAUUUAUUGAUAUGAAAAAACAGACAGAUAGGGUAAUUUGAAACAAAAGAAUAAAGGGGAUAAAAUAAAAUUACUCUUUUAAAAAUGAAAAGUUUUAUUUCAAAAAUAACUAAGUGAACCAAAAAAUAUUGGAUGGCAUUAUAGACUACUUCUUCUACAUUAAAAAAUAUUGUGCUUUUAAUAACGAAACUCAAAAAACAAACUUAUAAAUAUCAGACCUAUAAAUGAGCGAAACUAUCAUAAAAGUGAUGGACAUCUCAUGGCAAAGCACUUUUUAACUUUUGCAAGUGUUUAAAUUUACUUACAGGAAUUUUACAUUGUUGAGUAUGCAUCUUGGGAUAUUCCAUUAUUACCUCAAGAUUUUUCGGCCUCACCGGCAACGUUUGCCAUUUACCAUCAAAAACUGUUUUAAUCUGAAUUAGAUUAUCGUAUUUUAUGCACUUUAUGUCCGUAACUUUAGGAUUAUCUGCAGAUUUUCCUGGGCGUAUGGAAGAAUACCUUAAAUGGCCUGCUAGCAAAUAGUUUCUAAAAAAACAAAAAUACAACUCGACCGCUUCGUAGGGUCUAGGAUUAUGUCGUGCUUCUCUAGUAACCGACAAAUAAUCGCUAGGAAGAUGAAUUUUCUCGAUUUUGCAGUUUUCGUUCUAUUGUAGAGUGGACUCCAUGUAGGGAUGUCCGGACUCUAAAAAUUUUUGGUAAAUGGUCACUCCAAAUUUAAUAGAAAAGUUUAAAAGAGCAUUCGCCAUUAUGUUGUUUCUAUUUUGAUACGUUCGAAUAAAUAAUGAUGGGAACGCUUGUUAAAACACAUUUUUUUUCUAAAUAGUCCAACAAGCAUGAAACAAAAGUAGACGCUUUCAACUCGCUGUUUUGGUCUUCAGAAAACCAAUAGCAACACGCAUCAUGCGUUUUCAUGUUAUAAAUAGUAAAAUUAUGGCAACAUAAUUUUGUCUUAUAGUAAAGAGCAUUGGCCUGCAAGUAUGGAGAUAAUUUGACUGCUUGCAGAUCCAUUGAAAUUAAGAUACAAUUAUCUAAAAGUGCCUCGCUUUUAUCUUUCAGUUUUUCCUCCCGUGCACGAUCUUUCCUGCGAAUAUGCUCUUGAUAGUCACUUUCUGCUAGAUUUCCUUUCUCAUAAGAGGUACAAACGUUACAUUUAUCUUUUUUUAAAGUAUAUAUAGAUAAAUUUAAUUCCUUAAAUCUCCUCGGUAAAGUAUUUCCUGGUGAUUGAUGGUAAUUUUUUUUCUGAGCAAAACUCUUGAUAAACCUUAAAAAGUUCAAGUUUUGUUUUAAAUACCUCCGAAAACAGCUUUUUUGAAUUUUUUCUAUUAUAGUGAGAGGGUAGCUUAGGUAAGGAAUUUAAAAACGUAUCAACGUGCUGUAUACUUGAAGUGUUGCGUAAAGCAAUUUCUCGCUUUUUAGUUAUUUUACGGCCUUCAUCCUGAUGCAUGCCUGAUUCACUACUGUUCACCCAGUCUUGGACUGUUUUGUAUCCAAGAGCAAGGGUGUUUAGAAACAUUGUGCGACAUUUUUUAUUGUCAACAUUUAGGUAAUACACAAAAGUCCUCUGUCGUUGUCUUGAGUUUUCUUGCGUUUUACGUUUCACGGAAAUUUUUUCGACAGUUGAAGCAACGUAAACCUUUUUCUGAUCCCACGACAUUUCGCUCCAAAAGUAAUUAAAAAUUAUUUCUCUCUGAGCUUCCGUAAUUUGAAAACAUUUUCUUACUUUUGACUUUCUACAGAAAUUUGAAUUACAUCCACCUUUUAGUUUUCUUUCUCUUCUGUUUAUAUUUUGCUGAUAUUUUCCAUUCUCUCUUCAUAUCAACGUCCGAGUCAACGUCUGUCUGGACGCCUAAGAGUGAAACGUUCUCAACGUCAACGUAAAUAAACUUAUUUUAUUUUGUCUAACUGACCUUCGUUAUGUUUCCCAACAGUCUCAACUUCUUGGCAGAUUUGUAUUAGUAAAUUUGUAUUAAUAAUUUGUAUUAGUAUAGUAAACUCGCAGCAGAAACACUUUCAUCAGAUGUUGAUGAUAUAUCUGAAGGUACGUAAUCGUCACCUGCAUUGUCAGAACUGCAAUUUGUGGCUUUAGAGAAAUCACGACUGUUAUCAGGCGGUUAUAAAGCUCAAAGCAAAAGAACAUUUUAACUAUUGCAGAGGUACCUAUCUUCCACAACCGGAUCUGUGAAUAUGUCGGAAUAACUGUUUUGCAGCACAUCAUCAGUUAUUUGUGCGAAAUCUUCAUAAUAAGGCCCGGAACUGUUUAAAAGCAUUUUAUCGGUAUCUAAAAAGUCAUGAAAAAUUUAUUAAAGAGUUUAUAGUAAUUUUAAUUAUUUUCAAAUAUUUUUCUUAGAUUGUUCCGAUUUUUUUGCCGACAACUGUACUACUUACCAAGCACAACGACACUACUUUGUGGGUUUUCCACUAUAUUUAUUCCUACAACAACAAAAAAUAUUUUAAUUACUUUUGUAUAUAAAUUUUCCUAAUAUUGAACCUUUACAACUAAUAGUUCCUAUUUUUAUUAAAAAAACACUUUUGCACAAGUAACUAUUAUCACAAACUAGAAAAAUGAAGCUGAAAUCUGCCGACAACAAGUUCUUGCUCGAAAGCGUGGAUAAACACUGCAGUUAGGAGAAAUUGCGUUCAAAAAACGUGCCAAUUCAUUAGGAGAUAUUGCCACAAGGCAAUUUUACGCGCGAAAAAAUUUUUGACAGUCGAGUUCAUGCGCAGUAACGUAAAGACUGUUGGGUUGCCUAAAAGUCAUUUUUGCUGAAAAUGCUAGUUAGGAGAUAUUGCAGGCUCACGGACGAUAUGGCAAAGUGUCAUAACUCAAAAACCAUGAUAGUUAGGUUCAUGAAAUUUGGUGUAGAGGUUCUUCAUUUAAUUUCAUUAGACACCUAUUUCAGGAUUGUGCUGGAAAAUACUUUAAAGUCUGAUAAAAUACUUUUUUUGAGACACUGGAUUAAUAUUUUAGUACUGGAUGAAUAAUUUAGCAAAAUUGGUAUGUGGAAUUUUGCCAGUGGUGCUGGCUACUGCUCGUUCAGAUUUUUUGUCUAAAAAUACCUGGAAAAAUUACUUUUUACAAAUGUCAUUUAUUCCAACCUCCGAAUGCCUGUCAAAAUAAUCAAAUUUGUUAUUUCUUCCAGGAAUUUGGAGUACAAGUUAAAGAACUAUGAAAUUUUGCAUUUUUUUCAGGCAUUUAGAAUAAAAAAAUUGAUAAUAUUCAAAUUCCUGUUUUCCAUUUGAAUCAGAUUACUGAAAAAAAAAAAUUGAAAUUUCCUAUAUCUUCCAGGCACUUGAAGUAAACAUUAAUUUAGGCAAAAUCGUCAAAUUUGUCAUUUACUCCAGGAAUUCGGAGCGAGAGUUUGAAAAUAUUCAAGUUCCAUUUAGUUUUCAUUCAAUUUAUUGUACUAAAAAAAAUUCUUUUUUGUCCAGGCAAAAAUUACCUAAAUACUAAAACCUUGAGAAAACCAAAAAUACCUGGAAAAAAUGCAACGUUAAACAUAGUAACAUUGAAUUAGAUCCAUUAUUGUCCAAAAACUGUAUACAGUUGACACAAUUUCUUUUAAAGGGUAAAUAAAAUUUACGAACUUGCUCCACUUUAGCUUUGAGCCUCUCAUUUAUCGGAAUUAUCUGCGACUCCUUGUAAACUAUUUAAUAAAUGUGUUUUGGAUGCUUUUGGACACCCCUUAUACACAAUUUCAUAUAUAUAAUACUAAUAUUUAAGGCAUAAUUAUAUAGUUGCCAAGAGUCACAGUAAAAGCGAGUUUUUGCCCAGAAACUCUCUUUUUUUUUUUAAUUGAAAAAUCACAAAACUAUAAAGCACUCAGUCAGUCAAACGUCCUUUUCUAACCCAUACCAGUUUAAUUAAAUUAAAAACCAAAAAAAAAACUGAAAAAAAAAGAAAUCAUUACUACUAUAAUAUACAUCGGAACCAAACGGAUUCCAUUGGAUUAAAUUCAUUGAAUAAACGCUCAGGUAAAUUUGCAUUGUUGCAUGUUGAUGAUGAUGGCUGGUAUAAAGUGGAGGAGAGAGAUUUUCUGCUUGGUAUGUUUAUUAUGGAUGGGUAAGUCGUUAUCGGUGGUGAAUAAUAGUGAUCGGUAAGGAUUUGUGAUGAACGUUUUUUGUUGUUGUUGUUGAUAGGAGGACGGACGCUCCGCGUUGUGCCUUGUCCGGGUGAUGAUGAUGAUGUUGUUUCAGGUGGGUGGGUGGGUGUUUGAUUUAUUUUUUAUUAAUGUGAAGGUUGGGGGUAAGAAAGUUAUUAAAUUGAAGGUUUAAAUGCCAUAGCCAUAUAGAACUUACACUUGGAAUGCCUGGAAUAUUUUUUUAUAUUUAUUCUUUUUAAAGGAACUUUUAGUUUCUUCUAAGAAAACCGUGCAAUUUAAGUGAUUUAACUCAUUCAUACUCUUAUUUGUAACCAGAACAGAACACUUUUCUUUGCACAGGCUUUUCUAUGAGGCAAUUGACAAUUAUGUGUUACACUUGUUUUUUGAAAGUCAAAAUAGUUUUAGAAAAUUAUUCUUAUGGAAAAAUUGUUUACUUCGAACUUUUUAAAAACAUAAAUUUUGUUAAAUGAAAUGUUUCGCAAUAGGUUUCGUCAAUGCAGUGAUAGAUUUAUGAGUUUUUUAGCUUAAAAAUUGAUUUUCUACAUAGCAUGAUCGAUCGUUUCUAAAAUAAUAUUUUUUUUUAAGAUUCUUCACUAUAUACUGUGAUAGUUCUUCCAGGCAAUUCAGACUCUUGGAGUGCCUGGAAUAAUUAAUUAUUAGCUUGUUUUGCCACUGUGUCCCCGACAUAGUGCCUGAAAUCUUCGAAGUACUCUGAUUCUCCUUCCAGGCAAUUGAGACAUUUGAUAUGCCUGGAAUAUUAUGUGCUCUAACAGUUCUUCUAAGCAAUCGAUCCACUUAAAGUUCUUGAAAUACUUUUAUAAGUACUAUGAUAAUUCUUCCAUACGACGAAGAAACUACAGCAUUAAUAGCAAUCGCUAGUGGUUGUAUAGUAAUUGCAUUUCAAGCCUAUUUUCAUCUAGCUUUUUGUCCUUCUUAAAAUAAUCUCUAUUUGUUGGAUCCCAUAAAUUUGGAAAUCCCCUAUACAAAUCGAUUAAAUCAAGUUGUUUGUCUUCGUUCCACAUCGCAACAGAUUUUGUUUUUAAUUUUUUUUAUUAAUUUCCGACGUGUCUCCCUCGGAAGCUGCCACAAACCGUACUAACUUGUACCAACGCGCCUCCGACGGGCCCCCCUUUGAGCGCGUCGAAAAGACCGACAGAAAAUGGAUCGCAGCGCACCCACAAUCGAGCCCGUACAUACUUCACGAAUUUGGCCCGUCUCCUCAGGUCUAUACGAAACUUUACAAAGGAAAGCAGUUUCAAGUUCUUUGGCGAAUUUUUCAUAACCCUUUCUCAAUAGUCCAAAUUUUAUUUUGAAAUUGUGAUUGUCUAUUUGUAGUUUAUCCAAUCACGUCCGAAAACAAUCAUAUUAUUAGGAUUAUUCCCUUUUUUUGUAUUUAAGUGCCUGGAAUCCUCUUCUAAGUACUCUGAUACUUCUUCCAGACAAUUGAGUCACUUGAAGUGCCUGGAACAAUUUUUAAUCUACUCUAACAGCUUGUUACAAGCUUAUAUUUAUUAUCUUUAAAAUAAUAAUUUUUUUCCAAAGAAACCCGUAUAUUUCCCAUUAAUUUAAGGUGGCCGCUAUAGAGAGUAACGUUCAAAUUUGGCGCCGUAUUCGUGAUUUAACUACUAUGGCGCUGCUGUUAAACACUUUUUAACCAGAACAGUUUUAUUUGUGCAGGCUUUGCUGCCAGACAAAGAUUCUUGCAUUUCAGAUAUUCUAACAUAGGAAAGCAGUUUCGAGCUCUUUGGUGAAUUUUUCGAACACAUCCUUUUCUCAUUCCUUGAAUACUUUAAGUUUUAUUUUGAAAUUGUGAUUGUCUAUUGUAGUUUAUCUAAUCACAUCUGAAAACAGUCAUUUUAUUAUGGUUUUUCGCUUAUUUUGUAUCUGCGUCCUGGAUAUAGUGCCUGGAAUCCUCUUCUAAGUACUCUAAUUCUUCUUCCAGGCAAUUGAGUCACUUGAAGUGCCUGGAACAAUUUUUAAUCUACUCUAACAGCUUGUUACAAGCUUAUAUUUAUUAUCUUUAAAAUAAUAUUUUUUUUCCAACGAAACUUGUACAUUUCCCAUUGAUUUAAUGUGACCGCUAUAGAGAGUAACGUUCAAAUUUGGCGCCGUAUCCGUAAUUUAACUACUAUGGCGCUAUGGCGUUAAACACUUUUUAACCAAAACAGUUUUAUUUGUGCAGGCUUUUCUGUCAGACAAAGAUCCUUGCAUUUUAGAUAUUCUAACAUAGGAAAGCAGUUUGGAGCUCUUUGGUGAAUUUUUCGAACACAUCCCUUUCUCAUUCCUUGAAUACUUUAAGUUUUAUUUUGAAAUUGUGAUUGUCUAUUGUAGUUUAUCUAAUCACAUCUGAAAACAGUCAUUUUAUUAUGAUUUUUUGCUUAUUUUAAAUCUGCGUCCUGGAUAUAGUGCCUGGAAUCCUCUUCUAAGUACUCUAAUUCUUCUUCCAGGCAAUUGAGUCACUUGAAGUGCCUGGAACAAUUUUUAAUCUACUCUAACAGCUUGUUACAAGCCUAUAUUCAUUAUCUUUAAAAUAAUAAUUUUUUUUUAAAGAAACCCGUACAUUUCCCAUUAAUUUAAGGUGGCCGCUAUAGAGAGUAACGUUCAAAUUUGGCGCCGUAUCCGUGAUUUAACUACUAUGGCGCUGCUGUUAAACACUUUUUAACCAGAACAGUUUUAUUUGUGCAGGCUUUUCUGUCAGACAAAGAUUCUUGCAUUUCAGAUAUUCUAACAUAGGAAAGCAGUUUCGAGCUCUUUGGUGAAUUUUUCGAACACAUCCCUUUCUCAUUCCUUGAAUACUUUAAGUUUUAUUUUGAAAUUGUGAUUGUCUAUUGUAGUUUAUCUAAUCACAUCUGAAAACAGUCAUUUUAUUAUGAUUUUUUGCUUAUUUUGUAUCUGCGUCUCGGAUAUAGUGCCUGGAAUCCUCUUCUAAGUACUCUAAUUCUUCUUCCAGGCAAUUGAGUCACUUGAAGUGCCUGGAACAAUUUUUAAUCUACUCUAACAGCUUGUUACAAGCUUAUAUUUAUUAUCUUUAAAAUAAUAAUUUUUUUCCAACGAAACUUGUACAUUUCCCAUUAAUUUAAUGUGAACGCUAUAGAGAGUAACGUUCAAAUUUGGCGCCGUAUUCGUGAUUUAACUACUAUGGCGCUGCUGUUAAACACUCUUAACCAGAACAUUUUUAUUUGUACAGGCUUUUCUUUGAGGCAAUUGACAAUUAUGUGAACACUUUUCUUUAAUAAAUAAUAAUUUUUUUUUAAAUUGCCCUACUUUUUCAAAAAUUGCAGAAAUGAAUAUUUUUGCUAAAUGAAAUGUUUCGCAAUAGGUUUGGUCAAUACAAUGACACACCAUUAGUUUUUCAGAUUAAAAUUGAGUUUCUACAUAACAUUCGAUCGAUCAUUCCUAAAAUAAUAAUUUUUUUUAAAGGUUCUCCGCUAAAUACUGUGAUAGUUCUUCCAGGUAAUUCAGACACUUGGAGUGCCUGGAAUAAUUAAUUAUUAAGCUAAUUGUCGUACUCUGAUAGCUUGCCUUAAGUUUAUAUUCAUACUCUUUGAAAUAAUAAAAAUUUUUUAAAGAAAACCGUAGAUUUUCCGCCAUUCUAACGUGGGCGCUAUGGAGAAUAACAUUCAAAUAUGGCGCCACAUACGUGAUUUAACUCAUAUUGCGCCGGAUAGGUGGCACUGCUGUUAUUGUGUCUUAUUUUAAAAGAAAAAGUUCUAUAUGGUAAACCAGUUUAAGAAUUACUGUCAAUCCCCAAGCCUUCAAUUAAACGUGUGAACUUUAAUUAAUUAAUUAGAAAAACAAAACUGUGCCUUUACGGGUUAAAGGGGCAGUUACCAGGGGAGGGUAGAUCAUUAAACAAAUUAAAAACAAAAAAAACAACAAAAAAAUAAUCUGUGAUUUGGAAGGGUUUCUGGGAACCGUUGCCAAACAAACAAAAAAAAUACGAUGAAUUCCAUUAGUUUUUUAAUAUUGAAAUUGUUGAAUGUAAAAUAUAGAAUAAAGAAACCCUUCCAAUGUGCGUAAUUAUAAAUCGUAACGAUUAUAUAAUUAUCGAUUCCUCGUAUGUAUGUGAUAUUUAUCCGUGGGGGCGUAAUUAUUAAUGGACGGCUAAGGAACGAACGGACGGCAUUCCAUAGAGAUUUAUUUUUUUACCGCGUUGCGUUUUGCGACAUACGAUACAUAUCUAACCUUGUAAUUUGUCACAAAAAAAAAAACGUAUAUACAAUGACAUAUCUUGGGAAUGGUAGUUAGUUCGUUAUUUAAUGUAGUUACCGAUGCCUUCUUUGACACGUUUUUUGAGCCUAAUUAUAUUUGCUCUAGACCCAGAUAUACCCAAAGUUUUUCGUUUUAAAUUGUUUCCCCAACAAACAAAAUGGUAUUAGGAUCACAUUAUGUACAUUAGUAAUUUUUAAUUCUCAUCUAAAUACUAACUACUAUAUACACUCAAAAUGGACAAGACGCACACGUUUUAUAUAAUAUAGACUUUUGUGGUUCCAUUUGGCCGAAACCGACGUCCCCCACGGUGCAAAACAAGGCUGUAUGAACUAGUAUGUAAGAAGCAUGAUCGUUAUUUUGUAUGUAAGUUAAUUUAAACUUUUUUUUUCUCAUUUAGUACAAUAAGGAUUUUUCCACGUUACUGUGUAAGGAUUAAAUUACGAUUUUUCAUACCGAGGCCUACGAACUACUAUAUAUAUAUAUUUUUUUUUAAUCGUGAACGCCGAAUAUUACGGUGGGAUUUUUAAUUACUAAGUUACAGCGAAUCGGUAUAGUUUAGAUCUCGCGUGUGUCGUUUCAGAACUUCUUAAUUGAGGAGCGAAAUAUACAAAAGGGUCCUAGCAUGAAACCAGUAUUUCUCUACUUUAUUAUGUCCAGGAUAGGGGUAAAGUGUAAUGAAUAAAAUGUACAAGUUUUGGAGUUUAACUCUUUACUUGGUUAAGAUUAUUUCGUGAUACUGACAUUGAUUGGUUCAGUACAUAAUUUUAAAUUACUCGGAGGUUAACGUCCCUUACCCUUUACUAGCUUAGGGUUCAUUUUUUAAAUUGUACUGACAUCACUAAGGUGAAAGGUCGUUGUUCUACAUCUCUUACUUCCAGAGAGUAAGAGAGGUUGGUUCUGUACCACAAAUUCCUAAUAUGAACGAAGCCAAUCGGAGAUCUCUACAGAGCCUUUCCAGAGAAGUUGGAAUACAAAAUUACCUGGAAAUAUAGAUAAAUCUGGUCCAAAUUUAAGUACAAUCAACCGAGAUCUAUGCACCUAAAAUGUUCAUCAUGUCUUGCAGGUCUUCCUGGACUUAGGACGUUUCCUUUGUCAACUGCCUGGAAGUGCUAGAAAUAUUUGACUAAUGCCAGGCAUUUGAUGGAGUGGAAUUAAAAAAAAACAUGAAAAUUUACUUCAGAAAAUGUUGAAUUGUGUGGAAUUUAAGAGUAAUAGACCAAACUAAGUGAAAAUUACAAAAAUUGAUUCAUUAGACUGAAAUUUUGAUAAAACUGUGCAUUUGUUCACUUAUUCAUGGCUCAAUUGCCUGGAAUAAAAAAAAUAUUCAAUUGCCUAAAAUUCUGAAGGAAUUUAUCCAUGGACAUUCGACUGCCUGGAAUCGGAACGAAAAGUUUAUUGAAUUUUGAAAAAAAUCUGGAAAAAUGCAUUCGAUUGCCUGGAAUUAAAAAAGCAUGGAAAUUUACUUUUAAAAAUUGCUGAUCUACCUAGAAUUAAAUAAAAAAUUCACUGAAUUUUGAAGAAAAAAGCGAUACAAUUAAACCCGCUUUAAAAAUGCUUGACAGUAGAAUCCUAAGCAUAGUUUUGACGAUUUCCAUGCAAAGAUCCGUGGUUCAAAUCCGCUUAAUGUCAUAUUGGACGUUUAUUUUUUUUAGUAUGUUAUUUGGGUUAGAAAGUAGAUGAAGAAUUUGGUUUUAUAAUAUUAAUGUUUAAAAAAAAAAUGCGUUGAAUUAUUUUGCUUAUUGCUUCUCUUCAAAUGCUUUCUUUCCAAGAUACAGGGUGUCGCAAUUAUUAGAUAGUUCCCUGGAAAUUAAGAAAAAUAGUAAUUUUUCCAUGGACAUUCAACUGCCUGGAAUCGAAUGAAAAAUUGACUGAGUUUAAAAAAGAAAUCUUAAUUGGAAUUUGUAAUGGCCUGGAAUUUAAGAAAAAUGGCCUAUACUAGGUUGAAUUAUCAAAAAAUAGUUGAAGUGCCUCAAAAUCUCAUAAAUUUCUAUUUUUUCACUUAUUCAUGGGUCAAUUGCCUGGAAUUAAAAAAAAAAAUUCAAUUCCCUAAAAUUCUGUGGUAAUUUAUCCAUGGAAAUGCAACUGCCUGGAAUCGGAACGAAAAAUUGAUUGAAUUUUGAAAAAAUCUGGAAAAAUGUAUUCGAUUGCCUGGAAAUAAAACAACAUGAAAAUUUCAACAUUUUUGCAUCUAAUUAUUCUUUUUUACUAUAAAUUAAAUUAAUUAUGUAUGAAAAUCUGUAUUUAGAACAGUUUUAUGCAGGGUAGGUCAGAUCUUAGCCAAUAAAAUUUUAACCACGUCCAAGUACUAGUUUAUCAUAUAAACAUAUGCGAGAAAUGCUUUCUCUCCAAGAUACAGGGUGUCGCAAUUAUAAAAUAGUUGCCUGGAGUUUAAGAAAAAUAGAUUGAACUACGUAAAAUUUUAAAAAACUGGAUGCAUCAAUCAGCUUAAAACCUUGACUAAAUUCCGCAUUUUUUCACUUAUUCGUGGCUCAACUGCCUGGAAUAAAUUAAAAAAAACUCGGUUGUCUAGAAUGUUUUAAAAUCAUUUUUCCAUGGACAUUUAAGUGCCUGGAAUCGAAUGAACUGACUGAAUUUUUAAAGAAAUCAGGAUAAACUUAUCCAGUUGCCUGGAAUUUAAGCAAAAGAAUUAUCAAAAAAAUCCUCAAUUGUCUGGGAUCUCAUAAAUUUCAAGAUUCUUCCACUUAUAGAUAUUUUUAAAGGGUUGCAAUUUAAAUGCAAGUAAACGAACAAUUAAAUAAACUACUACUGGAAUUAAAAAAAAAACAAGGAAAUUUACUCCAGAAAAUGUUAAAUUGCGUGGAAUUUAAGAGUAAUAGACCAAACUACGUGAAAAUUACAAAAAUUGAUUCAUUAGACUGAAAUUUUGAUAAAACUCUGCAUUUGUUCACUUAUUCAUGGCUCAAUUGCCUGGAAUAAAAAAAUAUUCAAUUGCCUAAAAUUCUGAAGUAAUUUAUCCAUGGACAUUCGACUGCCUGGAAUCGGAACGAAAAAUUUAUUGAAUUUUGAAAAAAAUCUGGAAAAAUGCAUCCGAUUGCCUGGAAUUAAAAAAGCAUGGAAAUUUACUUUGAAAAAAAUCUUUUGCUGAUCUAUGUACCUAGAAUUUAAUGAAAAAUUCACUAAAUUUUAACAAAAAAAUAAAAAAAGCGAUACAAUUAAACCCACUUUAAAAAUACGUUCCAGUAAGUAUCCUUGUCAUAGUUUUUAUGAUUUCCAUGCAAAGGAUCCGUGGUUCAAAUCCGCUUAAUGUCAUAUUGGACGUUUAUUUUUUUUAGUAUGUUAUUUGGGUUAGAAAGAAGAUGAAGAAUUUGGUUUUAUAAUAUUAAUGUUUAAAAAAAAUGCGUUGAAUUAUUUUGCUUGUUGCUUCUCUUCAAAUGCUUUCUCUCCAAGAUACAGGGUGUCGCAAUUAUUAGAUAGUUCCCUGGAAUUUUAGAAAAAUGGCCUAUACUACGUUGAAUUAUCAAAAAAUAGUUGAAGUGCCUCAAAAUCUCAUAAAUUUCUAUUUUUUUACUUAUUCAUGGCUCAAUUGCCUUGAAUUAAAAAAAAAUUCAAUUCCCUAAAAUUCUGAGGUAAUUUAUUCAUGGAAAUUGAACUGCCUGGAAUUGAACGAAAAAUUGAUUGAAUUUUGAAAAAAAUCUGGAAAAAUGUAUUUUUGCAAUGAAUUAUUCUUUUUUACUAUAAAUUAAAUUAAUUAUGUAUGAAAAUCUGUAUUUAGAACAGUUUUAUGCAGGGUGGGUCAGAUCUUAGCCAAUAAAAUUUUAACCACGUCCAAGUACUAGUUUAUCAUAUAAACGUAUGUGAGAAAUGCUUUCUCUCCAAGAUACAGGGUAUUCCAAUUAUUAGUUAGUUCCCUGGAAUUUAAGAAAAAUAGUAAUUUUUCCAUGGACAUUUAACUGCCUGGAAUGGAAAGAAAAAUUGACUGAAUUUAAAAAAGAAAUCCUAAUUGGAAUUAAGAAUGGCCUGGAAUUUAAAGAAAAUGACCUAUACUAGGCUGAAUUAUCAAAAAAUAGUCGAAGUGCCUGAAAUCUCAUAAAUUUCUAGAUUUUUUCAUUUUUUUCAAGGCUCAAUUGCCUAGAAUUAAAAAAAAAAUCAAUUCCCUAAAAUUCUCUGGUAAUUUAUCCAUGGAAAUUCAACUGCCUGGAAUCGGAACGAAAAAUUGAUUGAAUUUUGCAAAAAAUCUGGAAAAACGUAUUCGAUUGCCUGGAAAUAAAACAACAUGGAAAUUUCAACAUUUUUGCAUCGAAUUAUUCUUUUUUACUAUAAAUUAAAUUAAUUAUGUAUGAAAAUCUGUAUUUAGAACAGUUUUAUGCAGAGUGGGUCAGAUCUUAGCCAAUAAAAUUUUAACCACGUCCAAGUACUAGUUUAUCAUAUAAAAAUAUGUGAGAAAUGCUUUCUCUCCAAGAUACAGGGUAUUCCAAUUAUUAGUUAGUUCCCUGGGAUUUAAGAAAAAUAGUAAUUUUUCCAUGGACAUUUAACUGCCUGAAAUCGAAUGAAAAAUUUACUGAAUUUAAAAAAGAAAUCUUAAUUGGAAUUUACAAUGGCCUGGAAUUUAAGAAAAAUGGCUUAUACUACGUUGAAUUAUCAAAAAAUAGUUGAAGUGCCUCAAAAUCUCAUAAAUUUCAAUUUUUUCACUUAAUUCAUGACUCAAUUGCCUGGAAUUAAAAAAAAAUUCAAUUCCUUAAGAUUCUGAAGUAAUUUAUCCAUGGAAAUAGAAUUGCCUGGAAUCGGAACGAAAAAUUGAUUGAAUUUUGCAAAAAAUCUGGAAAAACGUAUUCGAUUGCCUGGAAAUAAAACAACAUGGAAAUUUCAAAAUUUUUGCAUCGAAUUAUUCUUUUUUACUAUAAAUUAAAUUAAUUAUGUAUUAAAAUCUGUGUUGGAGGGGUUUGAAUCACUGGAUUUCGAAGGACCACUUGCCCUCUCACACAACUUAAUUAUGAUGUUGACUGUUUAAUUAUAGACAUUGAUUUGUUUGAUAAUUUUAUUAAUGCUACUAAACGUAAACUUUAAUCGAUUAUAUUGUUACUUUGCUUGCAGACAGACAUGUUCUAUGAUAAUAAUGUACUUCUCCCUCUCCCACUCGCCGUCUUGGAGCUCUCCUCGCAUCGGUACAAAGUAAAAUUUAAAUGAAAUUUUAUACAGGGCUUAACAAUCUGUAUUUAGAACAGUUUUAUACAGAUCUUAACCAAGAAAUUUUAACUCAACUGCCUGGAAUAAAUAAAAAACUCAGUUGCCUGGAAUCGAAUGAAAAAUUGACUGAAUUUUCAAAGAAAUCAGAAAAACCUUAUCCAAUUGCCUGGAAUUUAAGAAAAAAAAUUAUCAAAAAAUCCUCAAUUGUCUGGAAUCUCAUUAAUUUCAAGAUUCCUCCACUUAUAGAUAUUUUUAAAGCGUUGCAAUCUAAAUGCAAAAAAACGAACAAUUAAAGAAACUACUUGGUGGUGCGAGGCCUCUGGCCACGCACAAGUCGGUUCUAGUACAAAUAUUCAAAUAGGACAAAGUUCUGUGAAUAUUUUGUACUAAUUAUCAGCCAUUGUAUAACACAACUGUACUAAAAAGACAUUUACUUCACGCAUUUUUUCCUUGAAGUUCCAAAUUAUUAAACAGCAGCAUUUUCGUUUCGAGGGCGCCACUUUAGUACUUCAAUAGUUCCCUUUUGUAUAUCUCGCUCUUCGAUUAAUUUACCGUAAUAGUACCAACUGUGAUAGUUCUAAGGGCCGCGAUAAUUUUAACCAUCUCACUUAUGUUUAAAAAAAAAAACCCACUGUAAUUACUACUUAAAUUACAAAUAAACAAACAGUGCGUGAUAUUGGAGAAUUUCAGACCCUCGAAAAGGUUUAUGCAUUAUUUUGCUUGUGUGUUUCAGUUUGUCAGUGCCAUGAUUGUUGUUACAUAAGCGCUAAAGAGUCCGUUUUACAAAUGUUUGUAGACGAACAUUCGUUAAACGGGCCGGGCGAGCUUGACGAGCCGAUGUUUGACAAUAGUUCGUUUUAUACAGUGUGAAAAUGAAGACUGAUGAUCCCUUAUGAUAGUGUAUAAGUUUAUAGCUCAAAUGGCCGGUUGCAAGUGGCUGCAUCCAGUAAGUACUGUGCUGUGCGCGGCUGUAUUCCAACAUUUAUAUUCUUUUUGCUCUUUUAGGUUUAUUAUCAUUAUUGUAUCACUUUAUCUUCGGCGAGUGUUCUUUCCUUUUUUUUUUCUAACGGGAUAUUCUGUUUUGUUUUAUUUAAAGUACACGAGUCAAGCAGAAUGUCCUUGGGACACUUUAAUGUCUAUCGGUUGUUUUUUUUCCAUUUCCCUAAAACGGUUUCGUUUUAUAGCGUCAUUAACGGUUUAUUGUAAAUUUUUGUUUACCGCGGAUUAAAUUUUUUUGUGGAUAUUUUUUUGUAGUUAUCAUAUCAGGAACAAUAAACGUAUUUCAUUUA
rnacentral:misc_RNA from 1 species